AGGAGGAGGAAAAAGAAUUGAAGACAGAGAAGGAAUGAACAGGAGGAGAACAAUUUAGGAACAGAAAGAACCUAGAAACUACCUCCAGAAAGAGACUCCAGCAUCCCAAAAUCCAGUAACAGACUUGGCUUAACCAGUCAGGAGCAGCAGCACAAUGUAUGAGAAGACAUAGCAGAGACAAAAGUGAUGCCUCACCAGCAAUGAAGAAAAAAACUAAGUGAUAUUCCAAAGACUACUAGAAGAAAUAUGCCAAACUAUCAGUUUUCAAUACCCAA